GACGAACGCUGGCGGCGUGCUUAACACAUGCAAGUCGAACGGUAAGGCCCUUCGGGGUACACGAGUGGCGAACGGGUGAGUAACACGUGGGUGAUCUGCCCUGCACUUCGGGAUAAGCCUGGGAAACUGGGUCUAAUACCGGUUAGGACUACUGCCUGCAUGGGUGGUGGUGGAAAGCUUUUGCGGUGUGGGAUGGGCCCGAGGCCUAUCAGCUUGUGGGUGGGGUGAUGGCCUAGCAAGGCGACGACGGGUAGCCGGCCUGAGAGGGUGACCGGCCACACUGGGACUGAGAUACGGCCCAGACUCCUACGGGGCGCAGCAGUGGGGAAUAUUGCACAAUGGGCGCAAGCCUGAUGCAGCGACGCCGCGUGAGGGAUGACGGCCUUCGGGUUGUAAACCUCUUUCAGCACCGACGAAGCGCAAGUGACGGUAGGUGCAGAAGAAGGACCGGCCAACUACGUGCCAGCCGCCGCCGUAA
rnacentral:rRNA from 1 species